rnacentral:lncRNA from 1 species
GGGUAUCUACAGCGGCUUGAGGCCAUUCAUGCCAAGGGUUAGGCCCACAGGGACCUGAAGCCCACCACUAUCUUGCUUGGAGACGAGGGGCAGCCAGUUUUAAUACACUUGGAUGCCAUGAAUCAAGCAUGCCUCACAUGAAGGGCUCCCACCAGGCCCUGACCCUGCCGGACUAGGCGACCCAGCAGUGCACCAUCUCCUACUGAGCCCUAGAGCUCUUCCCUGAGCAGUCACUGUGUCAUUGAUGAACAGACUGAUGUCUGGUCCCUGGGCUGUGUGAUAUAUGCCACAAUGUUUGGGGAAGGCCCUUACGAAAUGGUGUUCAAGAAACGUGACAGUGUGGCCCUUGCUGUGCAGAACCAACUCAGCAUCCCACAAAGCCCCACGCAUUCUUCAGGAGUGUGGCAGCUCCUGGCCUCAAUGAUGACUGUGGACCUGCAGCAGCACCCUCACAAUGCUUGCCUCCUCAGUCAGCUGGAGGUACUGCAGCCCCCAGCUCCUGGCCAGCACACUGCCCAAAUCUGA